rnacentral:rRNA from 1 species
UACAGAGGUGGCAAGCGUUGUUCGGAAUUACUGGGCGUAAAGGGCGCGUAGGCGGUCUUUUAAGUUCCGUGUGAAAUCCCUCGGCUCAACUGGGGAACGGCACGGGAAACUGGAAGGCUUGAGUUCGGGAGAGGGAAGCGGAAUUCCGGGUGUAGCGGUGAAAUGCGUAGAUAUCCGGAGGAACACCGGUGGCGAAGGCGGCUCCUGGACCGACACUGACGCUGAGGCGCGAAAGCCUAGGGGAGCAAACGG